rnacentral:rRNA from 1 species
CCUACGGGCGGCAGCAGUGGGGAAUAUUGCACAAUGGGGGAAACCCUGAUGCAGCGACGCCGCGUGAGUGAAGAAGUAUUUCGGUAUGUAAAGCUCUAUCAGCAGGGAAGAAAAUGACGGUACCUGAUUACUAAGCACUGGCUAAUUACGGGCCAGCAGCCGCUGUAACACGCAGGGGGCGAGCGUUCUCCGGAAUUACUGGGGGUAAAGGGAGCGUAGAUGGCGGCGCAAGUCUGAUGUGAAAUGUCUGGGCUUAACCCUGGAACUGCUUUGGAAACUGUGCAGCUAGAGUGCAUGAGAGGGAAGUGGAAUGCCUAGUGUAGCGGUGAAAUGCGUAGAUAUUAGGAGGAACACC